rnacentral:rRNA from 1 species
GUCUUUAAGUAAUUAUUUAAAGUCCAGCCUGCUCAAUAUCAAAAAUAAAUAGCCGCAGCUUUACUGUGCUAAGGUAGCGUAAUAAUUAGCCUCCCAAUUAGAGGAUAGAAUGAAUGGCUAGACGAGGUGCUAACUGUCUCAUAAACUAAAAAUGAAACUAAUAUAUUAGUAAAAACGCUAAUACAAAAAAGCAGGACGACAAGACCCUGAACGAACUUACCAUUCAGCUGGGGCGGCUUAACAAAAAAACCUUGAUCCAAAUAAUUAAUAAAACAACUAGCCCAACUAACUAAAAGUUACCGCAGGGAUAACAGCGCAAUUUCCUCCUAAAGCUCUAAUCCAAGAGGAAGAUUACGACCUCGAUGUUGAAUUAAUUUCCUAAUAUUGUGAAAAAGCAAAUAUAAGGUGGUCUGUUCGACCAUUAAACAAUU